rnacentral:rRNA from 1 species
UUGGAGGGCAAGUCUGGUGCCAGCAGCCGCGGUAAUUCCAGCUCCAAUAGCGUAUAUUAAAGUUGCUGCAGUUAAAAAGCUCGUAGUUGAAUUUCGGGACCAUCAUGUCGGUCGUGCCUCGGUACGUACUGGUAUUGUUGGUUUCUCCCUUCUGACGAACCAUGAUGUCAUUUAUUUGGUGUUGUGGGGAAUCAGGACUGUUACUUUGAAAAAAUUAGAGUGUUUAAAGCAGGCUCACGCUUGAAUACAUUAGCAUGGAAUAAUGAAAUAGGACGUUUGAUUCUAUUUUGUUGGUUUCUAGGAUCGACGUAAUGAUUAAUAGGGAUAGUUGGGGGCAUUAGUAUUCAAUUGUCAGAGGUGAAAUUCUUGGAUUUAUUGAAGACUAACUACUGCGAAAGCAUUUGCCAAGGAUGUUUUCAUUAAUCAAGUACGAAAGUUAGGGGAUCGAAGACGAUCAGAUACCGUCGUAGUCUUAACCAUAAACUAUGCCGACUAGGGAUCGGAUGAUGUUAAUUUUUUAAUGACUCAUUCGGCGCCUUACGGGAAAC